rnacentral:rRNA from 1 species
GGCCGGGUAAUCCCGCAUACGCUUCUCUGGCUGCAUGGCCGGGGGAGGAAAGCCGUAAGGCGCAAGUGGAGGGGCUCGCGGCCUAUCAGCUAGUUGGCGGGGUAACGGCCCACCAAGGCGACGACGGGUAACUGGUCUGAGAGGAUGGCCAGCCACAUUGGGACUGAGAUACGGCCCAGACUCCUACGGGAGGCAGCAGUGGGGAAUCUUGCGCAAUGGUCGAAAGACUGACGCAGCGACGCCGCGUGCGGGAGGAAGCCCUUCGGGGUGUAAACCGCUGUUACUCGGGACGAACCUCCUGUUUCGACAGGAUUGACGGUACCGGGGGAGGAAGCACCGGCUAACUCUGUGCCAGCAGCCGCGGUAAUACAGAGGGUGCGAGCGUUGUCCGGAAUCACUGGGCGUAAAGGGCGCGUAGGCGGCUUCUCACGCGUGCGGUGAAAGCUCGGGGCUUAACUCCGAGUCUGCCGUGCGAACGGGGAGGCUUGAGUCUGGUAGAGGUCGAUGGAAUUCCGGGUGUAGCGGUGGAAUGCGUAGAGAUCCGGAAGAACACCGGUGGCGAAGGCGGUCGACUGGGCCAGUACUGACGCUGAGGCGCG